UACGAAGGGGCUAGCGUUGCUCGGAAUCACUGGGCGUAAAGGGUGCGUAGGCGGGUCUUUAAGUCAGGGGUGAAAUCCUGGAGCUCAACUCCAGAACUGCCUUUGAUACUGAAGAUCUUGAGUUCGGGAGAGGUGAGGUGGAACUGCGAGUGUAGAGGUGAAAUUCGUAGAUAUUCGCAAGAACACCAGUGGCGAAGGCGGACUCACUGGCCCGAGUACUGACGCUGAGGCA
rnacentral:rRNA from 1 species